UUAAAAGGACCACCUGAGCACCAUGUUGGUGUUAACCCAUCUGAUGUGAAGUUGUCACAGAUGUCCACGCUGUCCAUUGGUUGCAAAACAAGUACAAAAUCAGGUUUUAAAAGGUUUCAGGUGUUUGUUACAAAAGGUAAAUUUUAUAUUGACGCCUCGAUGAUUGACAAAUAUUAGUUUAAAACAUGCACUUUGGUUAGCAUUGGGUUUCUAAUUAGCGGUUUCCUUAGGCACCAGCUAGUUGAGUAGACGUGGAUCAGCAAGGCAAGUGGUGUUCUGUAUUAUAUUGGAAGAAAAAAGCACAGCUGGUGUCGUGAUGAAAACCUAAACUGAAAUUGAGCUGGAAUUACCGGCAGAUUGUUCAGUGGUGAUCAUCGGUUUUCUGAACACGAAAGUUAUAUAUUUUAACUUUAAAUUAAGGAAUAGAUUUUUAUACAUUUCUAACAAUCACUAUUAUCUUUUAUAGGGUUAAAAGGACCACCUGAGCACCAUGUUGGUGUUAACCCAUCUGAUGUGAAGUUGUCACAGAUGUCCACGCUGUCCAUUGUGCAUGAAGGGUCAAUGGAAGAGCAGAACUUGAUUCCACAAGCAGUGUCCACUGAUGUUACUUGAGAAUUGUCCAGAAGCAGUGAUCAAAACUAGACCCCUUCUUUGUUCAUUGUCUUGGCAUCAGUAUUUUUGUAAAUAAAACAUGUAUUAAAAAUACA